rnacentral:rRNA from 1 species
AGACCCGAAACCCGGUGAUCUAGCCAUGGGCAGGUUGAAGGUUGGGUAACACUAACUGGAGGACCGAACCGACUAAUGUUGAAAAAUUAGCGGAUGACCUGUGGCUGGGGGUGAAAGGCCAAUCAAACCGGGAGAUAGCUGGUUCUCCCCGAAAGCUAUUUAGGUAGCGCCUCGUGAAUUCAUCUCCGGGGGUAGAGCACUGUUUCGGCUAGGGGGCCAUCCCGGCUUACCAACCCGAUGCAAACUGCGAAUACCGGAGAAUGUUAUCACGGGAGACACACGGCGGGUGCUAACGUCCGUCGUGAAGAGGGAAACAACCCAGACCGCCAGCUAAGGUCCCAAAGUCAUGGUUAAGUGGGAAACGAUGUGGGAAGGCCCAGACAGCCAGGAUGUUGGCUUAGAAGCAGCCAUCAUUUAAAGAAAGCGUAAUAGCUCACUGGUCGAGUCGGCCUGCGCGGAAGAUGUAACGGGGCUAAACCAUGCACCGAAGCUGCGGCAGCGAACGUAUCACCCAAGACAACUUUACGGAGUUGACGAUUGACGGAGCGAAGCGACGUCAAAGCGUUCAUUAAAGUCGAGUUGGCUUAGGGAUACGUUCGUUGGGUAGGGGAGCGUUCUGUAAGCCUGUGAAGGUGUGUCGUGAGGCAUGCUGGAGGUAUCAGAAGUGCGAAUGCUGACAUAAGUAACGAUAAAGCGGGUGAAAAGCCCGCUCGCCGGAAGACCAAGGGUUCCUGUCCAACGUUAAUCGGGGCAGGGUGAGUCGACCCCUAAGGCGAGGCCGAAAGGCGUAGUCGAUGGGAAACGGGUUAAUAUUCCCGUACUUGGUGUUACUGCGAAGGGGGGACGGAGAAGGCUAUGUUGGCCGGGCGACGGUUGUCCCGGUUUAAGCGUGUAGGUGUGUGUUCCAGGUAAAUCCGGUUCACUUUAACACUGAGGCGUGAUGACGAGGCACUACGGUGCUGAAGCAACAAAUGCCCUGCUUC